AUUUUAAUAUUUUAAUUAAAUUUUUAUUAAUAUAUUGGUUUAAUAAUAAUUGAUUUUAAUAUUGAUUUUGCCCGGCGCCAUCUAUUAAUCACUUACCUUACUAGCUCAGUUAUAAAGUGAAUUCUGCAUGAGAUCUCCUAUCUGUGGAGGUGUGAGAAAAGAUUUCUGAAAUAUCAACUAAACAAACGACACAAAAAUACAGCUAUAUGAAAUGGUUGAUAAAUAACAAAAGACUGUCGAAUAUUGUACACGAAUUUGGAAAUAUAUUGAAAAUAAAGGCUUUGUUAUGCAACAUCAAAAAUACAAGGUUAUCUAGUCGAAAGUCUGAAGGAAGAAAUACGAUGCAAUGAAUUUAACUAUAAAAAAAAAUAAAAGUAUUUGACAAAAAUUUAAGUCGAAGAUAACCCAAAAUUAUCUUGAAUAUUCAAAAUUUGUUAUACUAAAGCUAGAAAA
rnacentral:lncRNA from 1 species